GGCGACGAUCGUGCGGGCCAGCGCGCCGGCCGCGGCGGCCGAGAGCCGGAUGUUCAGGAAGCCGGGCCCGGCGAUCUCGGCGCUGUCGACGCCG
rnacentral:tRNA from 1 species